rnacentral:tRNA from 1 species
AUAAAAUGGCUGAGGAAUAAGCGAUAAAUUGUAAAUUUAUUAACGAGAAACAGUUCUCUUUUAUUA